GACGAACGCUGGCGGCGUGCUUAACACAUGCAAGUCGAACGGAAAGGCCCUGCUUUUGUGGGGUGCUCGAGUGGCGAACGGGUGAGUAACACGUGAGUAACCUGCCCUUGACUUUGGGAUAACUUCAGGAAACUGGUGCUAAUACCGGAUAGGAGCUCCUGCUGCAUGGUGGGGGUUGGAAAGUUUCGGCGGUUGGGGAUGGGCUCGCGGCUUAUCAGCUUGUUGGUGGGGUAGUGGCUUACCAAGGCUUUGACGGGUAGCCGGCCUGAGAGGGUGACCGGCCACAUUGGGACUGAGAUACGGCCCAGACUCCUACGGGAGGCAGCAGUGGGGAAUAUUGCACAAUGGGCGGAAGCCUGAUGCAGCAACGCCGCGUGCGGGAUGACGGCCUUCGGGUUGUAAACCGCUUUCGCCUGUGACGAAGCGUGAGUGACGGUAAUGGGGAAAGAAGCACCGGCUAACUACGU
rnacentral:rRNA from 1 species